GAUGAACGCUGGCGGCGUGCCUAAUACAUGCAAGUCGAGCGAACAGACGAGGAGCUUGCUCCUCUGACGUUAGCGGCGGACGGGUGAGUAACACGUGGAUAACCUACCUAUAAGACUGGGAUAACUUCGGGAAACCGGAGCUAAUACCGGAUAAUAUAUUGAACCGCAUGGUUCAAUAGUGAAAGACGGUUUUGCUGUCACUUAUAGAUGGAUCCGCGCCGCAUUAGCUAGUUGGUAAGGUAACGGCUUACCAAGGCAACGAUGCGUAGCCGACCUGAGAGGGUGAUCGGCCACACUGGAACUGAGGCACGGUCCGGACUCCUACGGGAGGCAGCAGUAGGGAAUCUUCCGCAAUGGGCGAAAGCCUGACGGAGCAACGCCGCGUGAGUGAUGAAGGUCUUCGGAUCGUAAAACUCUGUUAUUAGGGAAGAACAAAUGUGUAAGUAACUAUGCACGUCUUGACGGUACCUAAUCAGAAAGCCACGGCUAACUACGUG
rnacentral:rRNA from 1 species